GUGGCCACUCCGAAUUCCCUCACAGCUCCAAGCCCACUAUGGUUGGGGAUUUCCUGCGUGGAUGAAAAUAAAAUGGGUGAGUUUGGGGAAACUCAGUGUGUAAGGAAAACCCAUUCAAAGCCCAAGUCAGCUCAAGCCUAUUGGGCCUAAGCCCAUUCAGGUAACAGUGGUACUGGACCAGAGCCCUUUUCAGAUUACAAUAAACUGGGCCUUAGCCCCUUAUUCAGAUAACAGUAUGGCCCAUAGGCCCAUUUCAAAAUACAUGCAACAUCAAUAACAUAUGCAAGCCCAUUUGGGGAGACUACUCAACCCACCAACCACUACACUCCACCCGUACCAGCC
rnacentral:lncRNA from 1 species